GUCUAAGACCCCUGGGUGGUCUCGCAGAUCUCGGACGAGCCCCCAAAUGAAAGACUCCCGAAGGGAGACCCCUCACUCAAGUCUCGGGAACAGCACGCACCCAGUAAGACACUGAGGUCG
rnacentral:pre_miRNA from 7 species